UACGUAGGGUGCAAGCGUUGCCCGGAUUUAUUGGGCGUAAAGGGCGCGUAGGCGGCCUGGCAAGUCUGUGGUGAAAGCUCGUGGCUCAACUGCGAGUCGGCCAUAGAUACUGCGAGGCUCGAGUCGACUAGAGGCAGAUGGAAUUCCGGGUGUAGCGGUGGAAUGCGUAGAUAUCGGGAGGAACACCUGUGGCGAAAGCGGCUCACUGGACCACAACUGACGCUGAGGCGCGAAAGCUAGGGGAGCAAACAGG
rnacentral:rRNA from 1 species